UACGUAGGGUGCAAGCGUUAAUCGGAAUUACUGGGCGUAAAGCGUGCGCAGGCGGUUUUGUAAGUCUGUCGUGAAAGCCCCGGGCUCAACCUGGGAAUUGCGAUGGAGACUGCAAGGCUUGAAUCUGGCAGAGGGGCGUAGAAUUCCACGUGUAGCAGUGAAAUGCGUAGAGAUGUGGAGGAACACCGAUGGCGAAGGCAGC
rnacentral:rRNA from 1 species